AACGCACAUUGCGCCCGCUAGUAUUCUGGCGGGCAUGCCUGUUCGAGCGUCAUUUCAACCAUCAAGCCCCAGGCUUGCGUUGGAGCCCUGCGGCUGCCGCAGGCUCCCAAAUACAGUGGCGGGCUCGUCGUCGUACCGAGUGCAGUAAACAUCCUCGCUCAGGGAACGCGUCGGGUUCUUGCCGUGAAACCCCCCCUAUAUCAAGGUUGACCUCGGAUCAGGUAGGAAUACCCGCUGAACUUAA
rnacentral:misc_RNA from 1 species